AUUGAACGCUGGCGGCAGGCCUAACACAUGCAAGUCGAGCGAGCGGCGGACGGGUGAGUAAUGUAUGGGGAUCUGCCCGAUAGAGGGGGAUAACUACUGGAAACGGUGGCUAAUCCCGCAUACUAUCGGUUGAACCCAUAUGGGAUUAGCUAGUGGGUGGGGUAAAGGCUUACCUAGGCGCCGAUCUCUGGCUGGUCUGAGAGGAUGAUCAGCCACACUGGUACUUAGACACGGCCCAGACUCCUACGUGAGGCAGCAGUGGGGAAUAUUGCACAAUGGGCGCAAGCCUGAUGCAGCCAUGCCGCGUGUAUGAAGAAGGCCUUAGGGUUGUAAAGUACUUUCAGCGGGGAGGCGUUACCCGCAGAAGAAGCACCGGCUAACUCCGUGCCAGCAGCCGCGGUAAUUC
rnacentral:rRNA from 1 species